UGGCUAUAUCAGAUAGAAACACAGUUUCUUGUAUGAUCACCAAAGUUAUACACCAUUGUGCCUGGUUAGUAUCUUGAUGGGUAACCACUUGGGAAUACCAGGUGCUGUA